GAUGAACGCUGGCGGCGUGCCUAAUACAUGCAAGUCGAGCGAACAGACGAGGAGCUUGCUCCUCUGACGUUAGCGGCGGACGGGUGAGUAACACGUGGAUAACCUACCUAUAAGACUGGGAUAACUUCGGGAAACCGGAGCUAAUACCGGAUAAUAUAUUGAACCGCAUGGUUCAAUAGUGAAAGACGGUUUUGCUGUCACUUAUAGAUGGAUCCGCGCCGCAUUAGCUAGUUGGUAAGGUAACGGCUUACCAAGGCAACGAUGCGUAACCGACCUGAGAGGGUGAUCGGCCACACUGGAACUGAGACACGGUCCAGACUCCUACGGGAGGCAGCAGUAGGGAAUCUUCCGCAAUGGGCGAAAGCCUGACGGGGCAACGCCGCGUGAGUGAUGAAGGUCUUCGGAUCGUAAAACUCUGUUAUUAGGGAAGAACAAAUGUGUAAGUAACUAUGCACGUCUUGACGGUACCUAAUCAGAAAGCCACGGCUAACUACGUG
rnacentral:rRNA from 1 species